rnacentral:rRNA from 1 species
AUUGAACGCUGGCGGCAGGCCUAACACAUGCAAGUCGAACGGUAGCACAGAGAGCUUGCUCUCGGGUGACGAGUGGCGGACGGGUGAGUAAUGUCUGGGAAACUGCCUGAUGGAGGGGGAUAACUACUGGAAACGGUAGCUAAUACCGCAUAACGUCGCAAGACCAAAGAGGGGGACCUUCGGGCCUCUUGCCAUCAGAUGUGCCCAGAUGGGAUUAGCUAGUAGGUGGGGUAACGGCUCACCUAGGCGACGAUCCCUAGCUGGUCUGAGAGGAUGACCAGCCACACUGGAACUGAGACACGGUCCAGACCCCUACGGGAGGCAGCAGUGGGGAAUAUUGCACAAUGGGCGCAAGCCUGAUGCAGCCAUGCCGCGUGUAGGAAGAAGGCCUUCGGGUUGUAAAGUACUUUCAGCGGGGAGGAAGGCGAUAAGGUUAAUAACCUUGUCGAUUGACGUUACCCGCAGAAGAAGCACCGGCUAACUCCGUGCCAGCAGCCGCCGUAA